GGUGCAAUAGUUAACUUAGUGGAAUCUUUGAGAUCUCUUUGUGAUAUUUGGGGGAUCUGUUGUGUGUUAUACUGUAUUCCAAUUCUGUAUUAGUGUGGCAGAAGAAAAAAAACGUGCUGUUGACGUAGUUGGCAAUGAGAUACCUUUGGAGACAAUAGUAGAUCAAUGUGUUUAUGGGAUAUUCUGAACUACUAGGCAAUUUAGUUUUAUAUUUUCAAGCACUCUUUGGUUUUCAUUAGUGGAAGACAUAAUUAGCUCAAGCUUAUCAGUAACACGAAUGAGUCAUGCUUUUCUUGAAUCUACUUGAGACACUAAAUUCAAGUUUUCUUUAGCACAUCACCUUCGUGUGCAGUGAAAUUCAGACUGAGAAGUUAAACAUUGGCAUGGAACAACUCCUUUUCUUUUGGUAUUUACUUUUCUUUUAGUUUCAGUUUCUGGGUUAACCCUUUUUGCAUUCAGAUCUCCAUUAAGACAGGCCAGUUGCUGUCUUUGCAAAAAUGUUUGCAACACAUGCCCAUUUGAACCCAUUUAAACUCAAUGAAGGCACUAAAAAUGGCCAUUGAAACAUAAACUUCAUGCACAAAAAGGUUUUAACACUCACACUUGAGUUUUCCCAGUGGCUUGUAUAUGUCAGUGCAUACCUAUAUGUGUGAAAUGGACAGUUGCAAACACAUCAGUGAAACCUCAUAUGGUGUUUUUAUAGUGAUAUGCAUGUUUAAUGUUUGAGGAACUAGUUGCCAAUGUACUGUCCUUUUAUUCCUAAAAUAUAAAUACUAUACAUGCCAGAAGCUAUUCUAAUGUGACUUUUGACAUGAGGUUUCACUGCAUUGCUGCUGGGAUGGGAUUCCACCUUGUAGUACAUGUGUAGGGAGGGAGUAAUAUAAGCUAUCAUGUUUCCUUUUAAGUUGCAGCCAACUCUCCACCAAGUCAGUAUAUCAUCACCACCAAAGUUUUCAGAAACAGUUGUUGACUACUCUUGAGUAGUCAGUGGGCGGGCCUUUUUAGGAGCAGUAAGCAAAGUAGUGUGAUUCUAGCUGGGAAACAUCAAAGCUGUCAGCUGUAUCCUCCUCAAAACCUGGUGAAGAAUGCUAUUUUUCUAGGCUGAACUUUUGUUAUAAACCUAAUAUUCUGAAAGCAAGAGUUAACUAUCCUGAUCAGUCUUUUUUUCUCCUCUUGGAUUUGUUAAUUCUGAAUGUAUUUUUAACAGAGUGAUUUUUUUGACUUUACUAGUGUAAUUUGCAUUUUAAAAAUAAAUGGAAAAAUGAU
rnacentral:lncRNA from 1 species